AGCAGCCGCGGUAAUUCCAGCUCCAAUAGCGUAUAUUAAAGUUGUUGCAGCUAAAAAGCUCGUAGUUGAAUUUCGGGGUCAGUAGGUUGGUCAUGCCACUGGUAUGUACUGGUCUCACUGAUUCCUCCUUCCUGAUGAGCCGUAAUGCCAUUAAUUUGGUGUUGCGAGGAAUCUGGACUGUUACUUUGAAAAAUUAGAGUGUUUAAAGCAGGCUAACGCUUGAAUACAUUAGCAUGGAAUAAUGAAAUAGGACGUUUGAUUCUAUUUUGUUGGUUUCUAGGAUCGACGUAAUGAUUAAUAGGGAUAGUUGGGGCAUUAGUAUUCAAUUGUCAGAGGUGAAA
rnacentral:rRNA from 1 species